UCUCCGUAGGUGAACCUGCGGAGGGAUCAUUACAGAGUUCAUGCCCUACCGGGUAGAUCUCCCACCCCAUGUUAUUAUUACUUUGUUGCUUUGGCGGGCCGUUAGGCUCCGGCCCGACUACCGGCCCCGGCUGGUAAGCGCCCGCCAGAGGACCCAAAACCCUGAAUAUUAGUGUCGUCUGAGUACUAUAUAAUAGUUAAAACUUUCAACAACGGAUCUCUUGGUCCUG
rnacentral:misc_RNA from 1 species